rnacentral:rRNA from 1 species
AUGCAAGUCGAGCGGAUGAAGGGAGCUUGCUCCCUGAUUCAGCGGCGGACGGGUGAGUAAUGCCUAGGAAUCUGCCUGGUAGUGGGGGACAACGUCUCGAAAGGGACGCUAAUACCGCAUACGUCCUACGGGAGAAAGCAGGGGACCUUCGGGCCUUGCGCUAUCAGAUGAGCCUAGGUCGGAUUAGCUAGUUGGUGAGGUAAUGGCUCACCAAGGCGACGAUCCGUAACUGGUCUGAGAGGAUGAUCAGUCACACUGGAACUGAGACACGGUCCAGACUCCUACGGGAGGCAGCAGUGGGGAAUAUUGGACAAUGGGCGAAAGCCUGAUCCAGCCAUGCCGCGUGUGUGAAGAAGGUCUUCGGAUUGUAAAGCACUUUAAGUUGGGAGGAAGGGCAUUAACCUAAUACGUUGGUGUUUUGACGUUACCGACAGAAUAAGCACCGGCUAACUCUGUGCCAGCAGCCGCGGUAAUACAGAGGGUGCAAGCGUUAAUCGGAAUUACUGGGCGUAAAGCGCGCGUAGGUGGUUUGUUAAGUUGGAUGUGAAAUCCCCGGGCUCAA